GACGAACGCUGGCGGCGUGCUUAACACAUGCAAGUCGAACGGAAAGGCCCUGCUUUUGUGGGGUGCUCGAGUGGCGAACGGGUGAGUAACACGUGAGUAACCUGCCCUUGACUUUGGGAUAACUUCAGGAAACUGGGGCUAAUACCGGAUAGGAGCUCCUGCUGCAUGGUGGGGGUUGGAAAGUUUCGGCGGGUGGGGAUGGACUCGCGGCUUAUCAGCUUGUUGGUGGGGUAGUGGCUUACCAAGGCUUUGACGGGUAGCCGGCCUGAGAGGGUGACCGGCCACCUUGGGACUGCGAUACGGCCCAGACGCCUACGGGGGGCAGCAGUGGGGAAUAUUGCACAAUGGGCGGACGCCUGAUGCAGCAGCGCCGCGUGCGGGAUGACGGCCUUCGGGUUGUAAACCGAUUUCGCCUGUGACGAAGCGUGAGUGACGGUAAUGGGUAAAGAAGCACCGGCUAACUACGUG
rnacentral:rRNA from 1 species